UGGCUCUGGCAUCGAUGAAGAACGCAGCGAAAUGCGAUAAGUAAUGUGAAUUGCAGAAUUCAGUGAACCAUCGAAUCUUUGAACGCACAUUGCGCCCGCCAGUACUCUGGCGGGCAUGCCUGUUCGAGCGUCAUUAACAACCCUCGAGCCCCCGGGCUCGGUGUUGGGGAUCGGAAUGGGGGCAACGCGCUGGUUCCUUCGGAAGCCGCGCACGCCCGCGCCGUCCCCUAAAUGCAUUGGCGGUUCGCGCCGAGGCGUCCCUUAGCGUAGUAGCAACACCUCGCUCCGGAACACUCACCGCGGACCACGCCGUAAAACCCCCGACUUUUUAUCAAGUUGACCUCGAAUCAGGUAGGACUACCCGCUGA
rnacentral:misc_RNA from 1 species